AGUUCGGAUUGAAGGCUGAAAUUCGCCUUCAUGAAGCCGGAAUUGCUAGUAAUGGCAGGUCAGCAUACUGCCGUGAAUACGUUCCCGGGCCUUGUACACACCGCCCGUCACACCAUGAGAGUUGGGAAUACCCGAAGCCUGUGAGCUAACGUUAAGAGGCAGCAGUCGAAGGUAGAAUCAAUGAUUGGGGUGAAGUCGUAACAAGGUAUC
rnacentral:rRNA from 1 species